UGUUUUUCAAGGUGUCGUAAAGGUUGGGU
rnacentral:piRNA from 1 species